AUUGAACGCUGGCGGCAGGCUUAACACAUGCAAGUCGAGCGGUAGCACAGGGGAGCUUGCUCCCUGGGUGACGAGCGGCGGACGGGUGAGUAAUGUCUGGGAAACUGCCUGAUGGAGGGGGAUAACUACUGGAAACGGUAGCUAAUACCGCAUAACGUCGCAAGACCAAAGAGGGGGACCUUCUGGCCUCUUGCCAUCAGAUGUGCCCAGAUGGGAUUAGCUAGUAGGUGGGGUAAUGGCUCACCUAGGCGACGAUCCCUAGCUGGUCUGAGAGGAUGACCAGCCACACUGGAACUGAGACACGGUCCAGACUCCUACGGGAGGCAGCAGUGGGGAAUAUUGCACAAUGGGCGCAAGCCUGAUGCAGCCAUGCCGCGUGUGUGAAGAAGGCCUUCGGGUUGUAAAGCACUUUCAGCGAGGAGGAAGGUGGUGAGCUUAAUACGUUCAUCAAUUGACGUUACUCGCAGAAGAAGCACCGGCUAACUCCGUG
rnacentral:rRNA from 1 species